UACGGAGGGUGCAAACGUUGUCCGGAAUCACUGGGCGUAAAGCGCAUGUAGGUGGCUUUGUAAGUGGACGAUUAAAGACCGAUGCUUAACAUCGGGCCUGUUGUCUAUACUGCAUGGCUUGAGAAUGACAGGGGUAAGCGGAACUUUAGGUGUAGGAGUGAAAUCCGUAGAUAUCUAAAGGAACACCAAUGGCGAAGGCAGCUUACUGGGUCUUUUCUGACACUGAGAUGCGAAAGCGUGGGGAGCGAACGGG
rnacentral:rRNA from 1 species